rnacentral:rRNA from 1 species
AUUGAACGCUGGCGGAAUGCUUUACACAUGCAAGUCGAGCGGCAGCGCGGCCUUCGGGCUGGCGGCGAGCGGCGAACGGGUGAGUAAUGCAUCGGAACAUGCCCAGUCGUGGGGGAUAACACUUCGAAAGAAGUGCUAAUACCGCAUACGUCCUGAGGGGGAAAGCGGGGGAUCGCAAGACCUCGCGCGAUUGGAGUGGCCGAUGUCAGAUUAGCUAGUUGGCGGGGUAAAGGCCUACCAAGGCGACGAUCUGUAGCUGGUCUGAGAGGAUGAUCAGCCACACUGGGACUGAGACACGGCCCAGACUCCUACGGGAGGCAGCAGUGGGGAAUUUUGGACAAUGGGGGCAAGCCUGAUCCAGCCAUUCCGCGUGAGUGAAGAAGGCCUUCGGGUUGUAAAGCUCUUUCGGCAGGAACGAAACGGUGGGCUCUAACAUAGUCCGCUAAUGACGGUACCUGAAGAAGAAGCACCGGCUAACUACGUG